GCUUGUUUGCUUCAUUGAUUUAUUAAUAAAGACAGUGCUCGUGCACUUACUUCCUGUUUAUCCCUCUGUUCCGUAACAGUCCCUUCUUCUUGAGGUCUGAAAGAGAGGAGGCCAAAGAGAAGAUGUUAGGUGCAAACCUCUGACAGUACCCUGCUUGCCCCAAAAAGGGACGUAGAUAGCAUUUGGAGGUGGGCAGGGAUAUUCCUUCAUGGCCAAAUGAAUGACCACAUCAUCAAGGUAUGCUGCCAUGAAGGAAUUGUGUGGCCAUAGGAUGAUGACCAUAAGCCACUGAAAGGUUGUUGGUGCUCCGCGAAGCCGAAAAGGUAGGAUCUGGUAUUGCCAGUGCCUGCUGGAGGUGGAAACGCAUAUUUGGGUCUGGUUUUGGGCUUCAAAGCUACCUGCCAGUAGCCUUUUGUCAGAUCCAAGGUAUAGAUAAAGCUAGGCAUCUCCAGGCCCUCUACUAGGUCUUCCAACUGAGGAUGCUGGACAAGGCUGCAUUCGGCCUGGUUCUACUGAAAAGACAUCUGUAAACUGGCCUAUUAGUUUGGUGAGGUCUUGUUGGGCGGGGAAAACAGCUCUUCUCCCUUGUUGAUCAGGGUACACCCGGGUGAGCUUUCAGGACAUGUGGCUAGGGAAGAGACAGGAGCAGGCUCAAUCCAUUUUUAAAUAGAUUAACAUGGUAUAACUGGGUGUCAUUUUAUUUACUGGGCAGUUGCAGGUGGUAAUUCACUGGGACUACUUUUCCUGUCACUGUAUAUGGGACUGAACAGCAUACCAGGAACUUACAGUUUGGACUGGGGUCCAGGAGGAGCACUUGGUCACCAGGUUGAAACUCACAAGACUGUGCCAGAUGGUUGUACUCGCUCUGCUGUGUCAUCUGUGGCUGUUCCAUGUGUUCUCUAACAAAUGAGCCAAUGAGCUCAAUGUGGCUCUGUAGCUCUGGCACAUAUUCGACAAAGGAAGGGAAGGGUGAGGGUUGUUCCUCCCAUGCUUUCUUGACUUCAGCUUUUGCCCGAAGAGCAACUCAAACAGGGUGAAUUCUCUGGAGGCUUGGGGAGUUUCAUGCACUGCAAAGGGGACAUAGGGAUGCAAGAGGUCCCAGUUUCUUCCUUCCUCAUCCAACAUUCACCACUUCUUUCAUUUCAGCUGCUGGUUAAAGCGCUCCAUUAGCCCAGCCAUUUGGGGUAAUAUACGGAGGUCUUGAUUUGCUGUACCUGCAACAGCUGACACAAAUCCACCAUUGAUUUAGACAUAAAGAACGUACCUUGGUCUUUCAGAAUCCAGACUCAACUGAAGAGUAUCAAGGUGGCCUCCUAGUGGGUGAGAGUGGUCCAGAUUUGAUAUCUUCCUGGUCUGCAGGUUGGGAGAUCGCUAGAAGGCGCUGUGUAUCCACAUAACCUGGCAUCAGGGACCAGAUUUUAAAAAGCAUUCCCACACACACUUAGAGCUGAAGAAGAAGUCAUUAUGUGUGCAUGAGACACGUGGUGAUGGAGCAAAGAGAUGAUUAUCCUGGACGAAGGUUACUGCAGUAGGAAAUGUUUCUCAGGUCGGAUAACGAGCUGCAGAAGGAGCACAGAUCUGCAUUAAUAAGGCUCUUCGUGAUGGAAUGAGGCUACGGCGAGUGUCUCAAACCUCACAAAGACUCACUCGAAGUAAAAUAUGUGCAUUUCAUCAGAAUCACGUCUCAGGUCUGCAGACUCGCCAUCUUCAGCUUCGAUUACGUCUGGAAUUAAAACGAGCAGCUCAGCCUGAUUAAUGAUUCGUUUCUGUGUGAGUUUUUGAUUAUUGUAAUAAAUCAAUGCCAAACUAAUCCGUCUCACAUAAUAACCCUGGUUUUAAAUAGAAAUUAAUAUUGAAAUAAACCUUGUUAUUCCAGUUUUUAGUGCACACUAGUCCACUUCUUUAGGUAAGUUUGUUAAAUGAGUUUAAAUUAAUUAAUUAAUACAAUUUUAGGGCAAAUAUUUCUGUAUCUGUAAAAUGUACAAUAUUGUCAUCAAUUCCUCUUAAAGCACAGCUCCUGAAGCAUGAGAAAAGAUAAAAUGGAGACCUGGAACAUUGCCCUGCCUCUGGUUUUGACAAGGAGGUCAUCAUCGCUUGCCUUGCCUUGCCUACACUCAGGACACCGUGGCUCCUCCCACAUAAUGCCCACCUCGAGACCGUUGACACUUUAUGGACGUUCUUUCAGGACCAGGACCCAAUUUUGGGGAGCUGUAUUUAAAGCCAGGAUAUUUUGACAAGCAGAACUGCAUUGCGUCUCAUUAUUUAACUUUCCAGGUGAAAGACACAUGCAGGACAUACAGUCAGCUCCGGAAUUAAUGGUACCCUUGGUAUAAGAUGGAUAAAAUAUACGAUUGUAAAGACUUCAUAGCAAAUUUGUUUAAUCACACACUGAAAAUAAAUAUGAGGGAAAUCUAACCUUUAACUGAAGUAAAUUUAUAAGUAUUUUUAAAUUACAAGGGUGCCAAUAUUUUUGGAGCUGGUUGGACGCCCCAUAUGUGUCUUUCAGCUGGGAAAUAAUUAAAUAUAAUGUCAAUGUCAUUUAAAAACACAUUCAAGGUAAAUAUUUUAUGUGUACCUUUGAGAGAUAAAUAAAAUAAAAUAAUUACAUUAAAAA
ensembl:lncRNA